rnacentral:tmRNA from 1 species
GGGGGUGAAUAGGUUCGACGUUGACUGGUUCUGCAGGAUCAGCAGGCCAUGGUUGACCAGGCCAUGUAAAACAGGGUCAAAAACAAAAAAGCCAACUCCAACGAGCUGGCCUGGGCGCACGCCUAAGUGCGCCUCGCUUGCAGCCUGUCCGCCUGAGCGGGCUGUAAAGCGUUAAAUUCGGGCUGCUGUCGUCAGGGGCGCGCUUCGUCCCGUGCCGGCAAAAGAUAAUACGGAGCUAGUCCGGUUCUUGCGGCCCCGGGUUCAGGCCGGACGAAACACAGUCGGGGCUAAGCCUGUAGCGGUUCCUGCAAGCCGUUGACGGACGCGAGUGCAAAUCUCGCCACCUCCAUAA